CAAGUGCAAAGCUCUGUCUUAAAAACAAACAAACAAAAAAACCCACAAACAAACAAACAGAAAAACCCAGCUGGACUGCAGGGGAGAUGCCGGGUGGAGGAAGAGAACAGCACAAGGGCCCGGCUUGAGCACAUGGAAUAUGACACAAUAGAAGCGGCCAUCAUGUUCCGAACACAUGCUGUGUGGCAGCUGGGGCCAAGAACUGCCCUGCAGCAACUGUGACCAGAUGGCCAAGUACUGCCUCCUCAGAGCCCCUAGGAAGGAGCCAGCUGCACGGAUGUGGGCAGGAUGCUGUGCUCCAGGCAGGGCCAAGGAAACAUGAGUUGGGAUGGCCUUGCUCAGUCGCCUCUCAGGAGGUCCUGCCCUAGUCCCAAGUUUGCACCUGCUCCAAGCCCAAAGCUGCCCAGAACCACGUGGGGAGCCGGACUGACCCUCACCGUUUCCCAAGGCUCAGAGACAGAAGCUGAUUGCCCCUGGGCACCAGCCCUCAGGUUCGUACCCACAGGCCUCUGGAGCCCCCUCACUGAGUGAGCAUGUACCAUCUGCCCUGACAGGGUCGGGCUGGAGGUGAGCCCUUUAGCCCAGGCCUCCCCAGCACCCCGUCCGCCGAUCAGGCUGAAAGAACUUCAUUACUGGGCUCUAUUUCUCCAGAAAUGUGAGGACUUCCUGGCGGCUAUUAUCUUCCUGGCUGUUGUUUUUCUUCCCUUCCUGGGGCCACAGAGGACAAUGACCCAGGGUGCCCCUGACCAGGGUACUGGCGUUCAGGGUGGGAAACCCUUGGGAUAAUGGAUUAAAAAAAACAAAUAAAACUAAACCAAAAAGACAAGAGCCUAUCCCUUUAAACUUAGAAUCCUGCACCUUAGACUCUUAAAACUUAGCUUACUAAUCAU